rnacentral:rRNA from 1 species
UUUGAUCCUGGCUCAGAACGAACGCUGGCGGCAGGCUUAACACAUGCAAGUCGAACGCCCCGCAAGGGGAGUGGCAGACGGGUGAGUAACGCGUGGGAAUCUACCCAUCUCUGCGGAAUAGCUCUGGGAAACUGGAAUUAAUACCGCAUACGCCCUACGGGGGAAAGAUUUAUCGGGGAUGGAUGAGCCCGCGUUGGAUUAGCUAGUUGGUGGGGUAAAGGCCUACCAAGGCGACGAUCCAUAGCUGGUCUGAGAGGAUGAUCAGCCACAUUGGGACUGAGACACGGCCCAAACUCCUACGGGAGGCAGCAGUGGGGAAUAUUGGACAAUGGGCGCAAGCCUGAUCCAGCCAUGCCGCGUGAGUGAUGAAGGCCUUAGGGUUGUAAAGCUCUUUCACCGAUGAAGAUA